GGGCGGGUUCCGGGAGGCUGGGCAGCCCCACCGGAAAGACUCGUUUCAGCCGGAGCAGGCUGAGGCCGGACGGAAACAGACUUGACCCCCCUCCUCCCUCGCAGGCCCUCCGGGUCUCCCGACCCCCGCGCAGCCCUGCCGGAUUCGAGGAAACGCUGGCUCGCAGCUGGGCAGCCCCGGGGUCAUCCCCUCCCACGCCGGUCGCAACCCCCAGGCCAUACCUGGCCUCUGCCUCCUGCCCGCGGGCUCGGACUCGACGGAGCUUCAAUGGGGGGGAGGGGAGACCGACUGCGAUGCGGGGAGCCGCGGCGCAGCGGCCUCUGCCCCUUCCCCACGUUGUGCAGAGCAGCCUUCUAAGCCGCAGUGCUCAGACGACCCCAGGCGGAGACAGCGACUUCGGAUGGCGGCUGUGCUGGCGAAAGCCCGCGGGCACGCCCCUCGGCGACCCCAGCCCCGCCCGCCCAGCAUGGGCCGCGAGCACCGUGCUUCUGAUCCCCGGGUAGGGCUGGGGAUUGAGUGGCGCGCUGGCCCAGUCACUCCACCUCCUUGGGCCUCGGCCUCCAAAUAGGGCGCUCUUGCUGAGCUGUGUGGAGGCAGGACCCAGGCUUUUCCCGAGGCCCAAAAGGAGGGUCCGGCUGAGAAAGGGCGGGUCUGAAGGCUGCCGGAACCCGCCGGGGUCUCCGGGGUUAGCGGCUCAGAUCAUCGGGUCAGUCCUUGGUGGAGUCAGGGCAAGAAGAGGCCGGCCCUGCCCAGUCUGCAGUCCUGCUGAGCGCAGACCAAGCACUGCCUACUUCAUCUGUGCAGAACAUGGGCCCCUUCCUGCUGGGCACCCCUAGUGCCGCAACGAAACACAGGAUGGGAGCAUCCAGACGUUUUACAGGCCCUCCGCGUAAACCCAGCCAGAAAAGCGCCCUUUCUGGGAAGGUGCACCGGUGACCAAGAACCCAACUCCACAACUGGCUCAAAUCUGCUCGCUGCUCAAAAGCUCUUUGGAAAUUUAUGCUAGGCGAGAAGCGCAAAUGGGGAAAAUAUAACCAAAGGCCUCAGAGAGCAAGUGGUGCUUAAUUUCCAGGUUUGAGUCCACCGAUAACAAAUGCUAGAGAGGGUGUGGAGAAAACGGAACCCUCCUGCACUGUUGGUAGGAAUGUAAAUUGGUACAACCACUAUGGAAAACAGUAUGGAGGUAACUCAGAAAACUAAACAUAGAACUACCAUAUGACCCAGUGAUCCCACUCUUGGGCAUAUAUCCAGCAAAACUUUCCUGGAAAAAGACACAUGCACCCGCACGUUCAUGGCAGCACUAUUCACAAUACCCAAGACAUGGAAGCAACCCAAAUGUCCUUUGACAGAUGAAUGGAUUAAGAAGAUGUGGUAUAUAUACACAAUGGAAUACUACUCAGCCAUAAAAAGAACAAAAUAAUGCCAUGUGCAGCAACGUGGAUGGAACUAGAGACUCUCAUACUAAGUGAAGUAAGUCAGAAAGAAAAAUACCAUAUGAUAUCACUUAUAUCUUGAAUCUAAUAUACAGCACAAAUGAACCUUUCCACAGGAAAGAAAUGCAGGGACUUGGAGAACAGACUUGUGGUUGCCAAGGGGGAGGGGGAGGGAGUGGGAUGGAUUGGGAAUUUGGGGUUAGUAGAUGCAAACUAUUGUCUUUGGAAUGGAUAAGCAAUGAGAUCCUGCUGAAUAGCACUGGGAACUAUGUCUAGUCACUUAUGAUGGAGCAUAAUGUGAGAAAAAUAAUUUAUAUAUGUAUGUGUGACUGGGUCACCUCUGUACAGUAGAAAAUUGACGGAACACUGUAAAUCAGCUAUAAUGGAAAAAAUAAAAAUCAUUACAAAUGAAAAACAAACAAAAAUAAAUAAAUUUCAUUUAAAAAAAUUUCCAGGUUCAACUUAGGCAGUAACCAGUUUGGAGACCAAGUUAAGAAAAAAGCAAGUCCAAAGUCUCAGACUCACAUCAGGAAGCAUCAGACCUGAGCGCCAGAUCUGUCCUUGUCCCGGAAUUUAUUUAAAGUCUCUGAGCCUCACAGUGUUCCCGUGCAUGAAAAGAGCCUGCCCUACCUUCAGAGCACAGCAAGACCAAGUGAAGACAGUAAACAUGACAACUGCCACCAGUUUUCUUAGCUCCUGGAAAAGAAUGUACAACAGCCAAGAUUGCUGGGAGGGAGACAAUCCCACCCCUGAAGGAAGAGAAUUUAUACAGGAACUUUAUUUUUUCCUUCUAUAAAAAAAUGCAAUCCCAUGGAGUUCUGGUUGUGGCUCAGGAGAAACGAACCCCAUUAGUAUCCAUGAGGUUGUAGGUUUGAUCCCUGAUCUCACUCAGUGGGUUAAGAAUCCGGUGUUGCUGUGAGCUGUGGUGUAGGUGGCAGACACAGCUCGGAUCUGGCAUUGCUGUGUCUUGGGCCAGCAGCUGCAGCUCCAAUUCAACCCCUAGGCUGGGAACUUCCAUAUACCGUGGGUAUAGGCCUAAAAAAACAAACAAAAAAAAUAAUAAUGCAGUCCCAUACUAGAGAAGUGUAAAAAUCAAAGAGUCGUUAGAAGUCAUUUAUUGGGUCUUAAGUUUCUGUUUUUAUCAAAGAAAUGGAUGGAGAUUGGACAGGAAUCCUGGAGUUCCUGUUGUGGCUCAGCGGAAAUGAACCCAUCUAAUAACCAUGAGGAUGCAGGUUCAGUCCCUGGCCUUGCUCAGUGGGUUAAGGAUCUGGCGUUGCUCUGAGCUGUGGUGUAGGUCGCAGAUGUGGCUCAUAUCCCAUGUUACUGUGGCUGUGGUGUAGGCUGGCAACUGCAGCUCCGAUUUGACUCCUAGCCUGGG
rnacentral:lncRNA from 1 species